GGGUUGUGAGGUUAAGCGACUAAGCGGACACGGUGGAUGCCCUGGCAGUCAGAGGCGAUGAAGGACGUGCUAAUCUGCGAUAAGCGUCGGUGAGGUGAUAUGAACCGUUAUAACCGGCGAUUUCCGAAUGGGGAAACCCAGUGUGUUUCGACACACUAUCAUUAACUGAAUCCAUAGGUUAAUGAGGCGAACCGGGGGAACUGAAACAUCUAAGUACCC
rnacentral:rRNA from 1 species